rnacentral:lncRNA from 1 species
UUUUGAAUCUUUUGUUUCACUGGUGAAGGUGUGUGGUCAUCUUUCCGGGAUACAGCAUCGAAAUGUCUGUUGUAAUGGUUACUUAUACAUGUCUUCUGAUAUGAAUCUAAUACUUGAAAUACUUUCUUUCUCCCUGUCUUCUCGUCAAUAUUUUCAAUGCCAAAUGAUUCUGUCUUCCGUAACUUCUCCGGGUUGCGUUCUGUUGUCUUUUGGUGAUUUCCUUACAUUCAUUGUAGAUGUUUUCUGAUUACUGUGGCUUGGUGUACCGUGAAGUGGUCCUGAUAAUAAAUAACCAAUUUUGGAUUUCACGGCAGUAGGUCCAUCGCCUCUAAUUAUAUGGUUGUCUACAAUUGACCAAUAGUAGUCGGCUCCUUCAAGUACUGAGAUGUAAAAAUUGUCGUUCGCGGUGACUGGAUGAGCGAGUUCUAUUCCUGAUAAAUACGGCAAUUUUGCGGCUUUACGGAUGUACGUUUUGAGCGGUGCGGCGAUUUCCGGUACGAUCAAUACUCUGAUCGGCAAUUGUCCUUC